GGUUUGUUGUCCUCCUAGUCGUCUGAAUUUUCAGCCCAUCCAACACUGUUCUGAGGUUCUGAUGCACAUCCAGCAGUUUGUCAAACCAAGCGUUUUUCUCAGGAAGGGGGAAUCUCUUAGGAGCGCAUUCUUCACCCGGUCUCUGCUGAGCUCACUGGUUUCAUGAGAAGACAGCUGUGCUUCCAGAGCAAGAGCAGCAGCAGAUGACCCUGAAUACAUGGCCAUCCGGUUUAGUUCAGCAUUGCCUCUUUUCUGCAUGGAGGAACAAAGCUCAGCAAGUUAUGGAACUUAUACAUAUGUGAAAGGUGUGACAAGGAUGCCUUUCUCCAGUGAAGAAUGCUGAAUGUAAGUGGCCACAGUAAACCCCUGUUCAGGAUCCAGGAGGAAUCCUUCACCUCCAGCCUAAGGAGAACGUUGGUGACAGCUGCUGAAACGCCUUGAUCACACACUCCCAGCACCCCAGCACCCUGCCAGCAGCAGCAGGAGGAAAGUCCAGUUUAUGUUAAUAAGGUGCCUGGAGACUGGCCCCCUCCCUGUUUCCCAGAAGGUGCUGCCAUUUGUUUUCCAGCUCCACUGACCAAGCACAGCCCUGGGCAUCCCAUGGACCCAGCGGGAGCAGCGGCAGUGCUCCACAUCCUGCUGGCAUGCUCCGAGCAGGGCAGUAAUUUAUUGGCUUGCAAGAAGCAACGCUCCUAAAUCAGAAGAGCCAGACAGAGGUGUGGCACAAGUCAGCCUUUCCAGGCAACACCCUCAUGCCACGAGUGACCCAGACACUGCCCUCUUCUGCUCCUCACAAAUCCCUGCUUGCCCUUCUCUUUCCCUGGAGCUUCUUGGAGUGACCUGCAGUGACCACCACGGUGGAAGACCCAGGCUUCUCCUUUAUUAAAACCUGUGUUGUGCCUGAGACUGACAGAAGAAAACACCAUGAGCCUCAUAAAACAUUUUGUUGGAUGACAGAACUUUUUCAGUCCUUGGAGUAGAACAAAUCACAGCCCAGCCUUUUGAGUGGCCUGGUGCACGCAGUGCAGGACAGGUGAGUCUCAAAACUGAGACCAGACAGGGAAUUUGGCUCCAAUUCAAUAGGUAACUUUUCAGUUAACUCUCCUUCCCACAGUUCCCAAAGCACAAAGCCUCUGGGAUUUGGUUCUGCCCCUUGUUCAGACUCAUGUCCUCUCCAAAACACCCUCACAGGAGCGCUCAGCAGGCUCUGUCAUGGUGGGGGACUCCUGCACUGGCAGAUUAGUGCAGCAUUGUGGCUGAGAAGGUCAUGUACAGCAGCUAUAAUUGUGAAAUCAAGAAGAGUAAUGAGGAUUUGAGCUGUUAUUUUGCUCAUAAAUACACAUUUUAAUGUGCAGGGGAAACCAUAGUGUUGAAUGAAAAUAUUGUGAUCUUCAGGGGAAAAAAGAUGUUAGCCAAAA